CCUACGGGUGGCAGCAGUCGAGAAUCAUUCACAAUGGGGGAAACCCUGAUGGUGCGACGCCGCGUGGGGGAAUGAAGGUCUUCGGAUUGUAAACCCCUGUCAUGUGGGAGCAAAUUAAAAAGAUAGUACCACAAGAGGAAGAGACGGCUAACUCGGUGCCAGCAGCCGCGGUAAUACAGAGGUCUCAAGCGUUGUUCGGAAUCACUGGGCGUAAAGCGUGCGUAGGCUGUUUCGUAAGUCGUGUGUGAAAGGCGCGGGCUCAACCCGCGGACGGCACAUGAUACUGCGAGACUAGAGUAGUGGAGGGGGAACCGGAAUUCUCGGUGUAGCAGUGAAAUGCGUAGAGAUCGAGAGGAACACUCGUGGCGAAGGCGGGUUCCUGGACAUUAACUGACGCUGAGGCGCGAAGGCCAGGGGAGCGAAAGGGAUUAGAUACCCUUGUAGUC
rnacentral:rRNA from 1 species